AAAGAAAUAAUCAGGGGGAAAUAGGGGAUGCAGAGCACAUUUUAAUUUUGCUUCCUGUUUUGAUAAUCCAUAGUUAGUGUUUCUAUACUGGAUCUGUGAGCCCAGUGGCCAUUUUAGAUCCCCGGAUGGGAAAACGUUGCCUUCCUUGAGAAUUCCGGCCAUCUUCCGCUUUCUUGAUCUAUGAUCACCACCUCUAAUUAAAAGUCUUAAUAGCAUCCAGGCCCUAAUCACACAAAAGAGACCACAGCCUACUGAAAGGGUAGGGCAUUUUAUGAAAGCGACAGAAACUCUCAGAGAUUUGAGCCUGCAGAAACUGCCUGCGUGAUCUUUAAUGGAUUUUUAAAGAUGACAAGAAAGGAAAUGGGAAAGUAAAGCAACGGAAGGCAGAAAUUCCCUGAAGGAGCAUUCUGAAGUAAAUCAGUGCAACCGAAAAAGUGAACUCCUAGGGCCUGGGGAUAUCUCCCAGGUUUUUCAGCUGGACACUUAUGGCCUGUUGGGUCCCUGAACACCUCUGCUCUGGGCGGACUUUGACAGAGCAAGUCACAGAAAGAUGAACGACAGCACCUGAAGUGCUGUUUGCGGGGCAGAAAAUUGCUCCCUUUGCACGCUGGGCUGCCUUUGCUUUCUGUCACAUGACUUAUUACAGCCUCCCCAUAUAACAGGGCCAUUUAUGUAUGUUAACUUGGUGAGCUGUAAUGGUAUUCUUCGCCUCCUUUUUCACUGCUGCUUGGGCAAUUAAAAACAAAGGAAGCAAAUGAGGUCAGCACUCAUAAAACCUGAGUCUAUAGGUGACGGACACCCUGAGACCAAAUAGCCUCAGAUGCUGCUACAGUAGAAGGAAACCAUGAACGAGGAAAUAUGCCUGCUUCCCUGGCUUUUACAUAGGUAUUUAUUUUUUCAGGGUAAUGUGAGUCCAGUGUCACCACUCAAAAAGUCCGGAGGUGAGGAAACACCUAGGAACCACAUUUCACCCAAACUACGGUUGACCACGUGGGCGUGGCCACACAGAUUCCAUUCCGUCCUACGUAACCAGAUAAGCUCAGAUGUUUGGGAUUUGCUGCUCUGAAUGUGCUGUCAGUAACCUAGUGGGCCAAGUUAAUAUUAGCUCGCACUGGGUAUAUGAGGGUAUUUUGUUGCUGUUUGGAGAAAUGACCAGUUUACUUGGUUAUAUUGACAGCUCUACUGUAAAAUUUGUUGGCAUUAAAGGUCAAAAAGACCCAGUUUUCCUCUGGUUGCUUCUACCCAAAAGAGAAUAAAUCUGGGAGCUGAAUCA
rnacentral:lncRNA from 1 species